ensembl:snRNA U6 U6 spliceosomal RNA
GUGCUCACUUCAGCAGCACAUAAACUGAACAUUGGAAGGUGGUAGAGAAGAUUAGCAUGGCCGCUGCACAAAGAUGUCACGCAAAUUCGUGAAGCAUUCCGUAUUUUU